GUCAAAUAUGUAACAUAGUGUACAUGUAUGUAGCAACUGGCAUGAGUGUAAACCCAUACACAUGUUGUGUAUGUCCCAGUGAGGCUGUAUGUACACACAGCCUGGUGCUGGUUAGAGCUCACCAUGACAGAGGGGAAGGGGCACAAAGAACAGCCUGGAGUAAUGGAUAGGGGGAGGGGUGCUCAUUCUGUUAGCAGGACUCUGAGUCCUGGCUUCAUACACAGG